rnacentral:rRNA from 1 species
CCUAAUACAUGCAAGUCGAGCGAUCCUUUGACGUUAGCGGCGGACGGGUGAGUAACACGUGGGUAACCUACCUAUAAGACUGGGAUAACUUCGGGAAACCGGAGCUAAUACCGGAUAAUAUUUCGAACCGCAUGGUUCGAUAGUGAAAGAUGGUUUUGCUAUCACUUAUAGAUGGACCCGCGCCGUAUUAGCUAGUUGGUAAGGUAACGGCUUACCAAGGCGACGAUACGUAGCCGACCUGAGAGGGUGAUCGGCCACACUGGAACUGAGACACGGUCCAGACUCCUACGGGAGGCAGCAGUAGGGAAUCUUCCGCAAUGGGCGAAAGCCUGACGGAGCAACGCCGCGUGAGUGAUGAAGGUCUUCGGAUCGUAAAACUCUGUUAUUAGGGAAGAACAUACGUGUAAGUAACUAUGCACGUCUUGACGGUACCUAAUCAGAAAGCCACGGCUAACUACG